CCGUUUCGGCCCAUGACACCUUCGGCUUUCUGGCGUCGGCAAAGGGAGCGAGCGGCGACGAGGCGGGCGGCGGCGGCCGCAAUGCCACGGGGGGAAUCGGUUCUCGGGACUUCCUCCAUCGAGGACCAAGUUUCGGUGCUAGGAGCUGUGGCCUAAUCUAGCAACCUCUUUCAAGUAUCUGUCCAGUUGACCAACUCAAGUCAGGCCUUGUUAGAUGUUUCAGCCUUCACUGCCAACGGCAUCGCCAGGUAUGGUAUGGUAAUUGAUGGGUAGUUCAGAGCAGUAGCGGACGAGGAGGAUCUGUGGCUGCCAGUACAGUUGUCUCCGGUUAUUAGAUGCGAGGAGCGGUCACCAUGGCUUGUGGCGCAUAAGAAUGACCUGUAAUCUUCAGGCUGUGCAUCAAAGAUGAUCCCUGGGUUCAGAGCUUUGAUGGGAUCCAUGAAACCCGAGCCGAAGUCGAAUGGGGUUGCAGCCUUCCCAUCAGGAUCUGUGGCUAUGGUUCUUCUUUUCUUAUCCAGUACAGUUGCUGCAAAUAAGAUUCAUGAGAUUUGUCAUAAUACUAGUUUAUCUUCUGAAUCUGGUUAUCCGGUGAUACCUGUUGUCAUGAUUGCUGAUUUGAUGGCUGAAGGAGACCAUGAGGGAUAUAUACUUUUGACAAGUGCUGCUAUUCCAGUAACAUGGGGACAUGCCAUGGAAGUUCCAGAUAGAAUAUUGAAGUGAAUGUUAUUCUUGGAAGGAGACCAUGCCGCCAAGAUGUUCAGGCCAGGAGCAGUGACAUCCGGCUACAAAAUGCACACAUUGAGAAGAAAUUAAUGAACGUGUCAAUCAAUUUAUCAUCCAUGGUCGGAUUUUCGUCUAUCCAGCAAUUCAGUACUGGUUACCUUCAAAAUCUCAGGUGUCAGUGAACUUGGACCUCUUGAAGAGAAUGCUGCUACCCGUGGGCCAUCUCGCAACCCUAAGAUCGUCUUUGCUGCCAAGAUCAUUGUACUGGCAUGCCUGUAAAAUUAAUUUUAGAAAAAAGACUGACAUACUAAUAAAAUACACUUCUAUAGUAGGUUUUAUCAACCUUGUACUCUUGAUGUAAGAAAUAAUUUCGUCACCCAUUUUUUUCCCAACAACAGUUCCAGGAACAGCGAAGUGAUUAGCAACAUGAUCCCCCAUCUCAUCAAUAAGAAUCAUCCCAGCUGCACCAGCUUCCUUGACAACCAUACUAGUUGAUACACGUGAUUCCGAGGAGCCUCUAAUACGGCGGCAAAUAAGAAUCUUUCCUCUGGCCUUGGUCCUAUUUAAAGAGCUGUCCAGAUAAAAGCUAACAACAAAGGCCACAAGAAUUUCAGUUUGUUGAUAAUCUAAUUCAAGGUUUUGGUUCAAGAUUGUUCUUUGUUUUACCUGGAUUGAUAGGGGGUGAAAUAGCCCGCGUUGACUUCUGAAGCUGGAAUAGUUCUAACAGAAGUUUUCAUGUGGUAUGUACUCAAGCUCUCACCCUGUGCGCCAAGAGGCACAAUGUUCAAAAGUAUUCUUAAGGCUUCAUAAGAAAGAUAGACUGAAUAAUGUGUCAUAUAAGAAUGAAAAUUACCAUUAUGUAGGUGCCAUUUUCCAGUCUGAUAUAUGCGACAAAGGAUCUAUCGGUUGUUCCUGCUGCUACCGUGAGCAUCCAUGGUGCAAGGUUAGUUGCUGAGCCCUGUCUCCCAGCAUUACCUGCAGAAGAAACAACCAGUAUUCCCUUGCUUGUUGCAUGGAACGAGCCAAUGGAUAUGGCAUCGCGGAAAUAGUCACCCUGAGGAUAGUCUGGGCCUAGAGACACAGAUAUAAUGUCAACACCAUCUCUGACGGCAUCAUCAAAUGCUGCAAGAAUGUCAACGUCGUAACAGCCAGAAUCCCAGCAGGUCUUAUAGGCAGCAAUCCUUGCCAUGGGGGCUCCUCCCCGACCUCCUCCCGCACCCAAACCUCCAUAAUUCAUGUUUCUUACAAAUCUUCCAGCUGCUAUUGAGGCAGUAUGGCUGCCAUGCCCUGAGCUAUCUCUUGGAGAUAUAAACUUGAUGACAUUUUUACUUGAACCACCCUCUUCUGUUUGGUAUCCAUUGAGGUAAUACCUACCUCCUAUGAUUUUCCUAUCAUAUUAGGAUAGAUGGGUGACUUUAGAAGAUCAAUAACAAACAUGGGUUAAUUUUGAAGCAUGUACCUGUUACAUGUGAAAUUUGAUGGUGAAUUUGCCUCUCCUCUUUGGCAUUGCCCUCUCCAUCUUUUAGGAACUGGAGGCAUCCCAUGAUCACUGAAACUAGGGGAUUCUGGCCAAAUUCCUGGAAAGGCUAGCAUACAACAGGAUUUAUUGAUGAAAGAGAAGGUUUUUGGUGCCACAUGAUGCUUACAAUGGAAAGAACACAACAAAUAUUCACACUGACUGAAAGAAGCCGAUGCAACUUGAACCAAUUAUGCAAUUGCAGUUCUACUCACCUGUGUCAAUGAACCCAACAAUGACGUUCUCCUGGUUCUUAGUGGAGAAUCCAGGGAUCUCACACUCUGCAUUGGUGGACAAACCCAUGAAAUCCCACGAAUGGGUGGUAUGCAGUCUUCUCUUUGUGUUUGGAAACACCGAGACUACACCAGGCAUCUCUGAAGAAAUGAAUAUCAGACUUAGCAUCUCGGCAUCACUGCCGUCACCACUGGACUCACUUGUUUGGCCGCAAAUCCUUGGAAACUGCUGCUGUAAGUGUAGACAUGUGAUGUCUGUGCCUUCUCCAAGCUGUGGAGACAAAGCAUCCACUCAAGCUACAGUAUAUAGCAGCACUGGAAGCUAGAGAAAUGGAUAUGAUAUUUUUUUCACGGACCUUCCAUCGUGAACAGCAGUCAGCAUCUGGUGGUGAAGCCUCAUGAUGUCCUGUUGACGAUCACUAUUGCCCUGCAACCCCUUGCCCAUGUAAACCACAUACACCUGAAGUUGGCAUCCAUUUGGAAAGGGUUAGACCGUUGGAACACCUCAAGAAAAAAGAGGCAGCUCAUGCAGACACAAGCGCAGAAGAGCUAGCCAUCAUUGGGACAAUCCAACAAAGCAGUGGUGCGCACCUGAGAACAAGAGCAGCAGCGGAGGUCUCCCAGUAGUACCAGAGCGAGCACGAGGAAGAACACGGCUCUGCCCGGAGAAGAAGCCAUCACAGACACGCAGACCCACACUGAUGUGCAAAUACGAAGGGAAAGUGAAGAUCUGCGGUUUGGAUAGCAAGUGUACAGGACGAGUUCUGUAUGAAAGCAGCAGCUUCCUGAAACUGCUGCCAAGCUACUCGAUGCCUGGGAACAUAAAGCCCUGUACAGGAAUCCCGGAGCAAUGGGUGGCCGUUAACUGCACCUUUUUCGUCGUCCCUGCCACUCGCAAUCCUAGCCGGUGCGAGAUGGCAACAAGAUUACAUAAAUGAAGACAAGGAUGUCGAAAGUGUCAUGAUGCGGUAUGGGAACCGCAGAGGCUGAGCUAGUGAGGGCAUGACAAAUAGGGUGCCCGAUCUUGGGGAUGCAAGAACAUGUAGGCUGCUCUCGUUCGUAGAGAUAUACCUGUAGUCCUGUAGAUGUUGGGGUGUAUUAGUAUUGAUCUUGGCUGUGCCUAUACAGAAAAAUUAAAGGGUUACCAGGAGUAUCUUUCUGUCA